AAGACUUGAAAGGAAAGAGGGCGGCUGGAGGCCUGCUGGUGAGAAAAGGGCAGAGAAUCACCGUGGUUGACCACAGGAGUACUAAUCCCCUCUGAGACAAGAGAGAGCCACGUGGCCACACCUAACCAUGGGGAUGGGAUGUGCCAACCUACCAUGGCCUGGAUGGCCAACUAGAAAGAUGUGGUGAG